GUAAAUAUCUAUCGUCAAACAAACUAAUUGUUUAAGUAUUAACUUGCGGUAUCUUCUUGGGCCCAUUCUUUAUGUUUUUGUUCUAGAUCUGUAACUGAAUCCCUUUGAUAAGUUAACUUUAAAUGAUUAUGAGCUAGCUGAUCUUUGGCUACCUUCAUAUCGUUUGAAAAGAAAUUCAAUGGCUCUAC
rnacentral:antisense_RNA from 1 species